rnacentral:rRNA from 1 species
GAUGAACGCUGGCGGCGUGCCUAAUACAUGCAAGUCGAGCGAACGGACGAGAAGCUUGCUUCUCUGAUGUUAGCGGCGGACGGGUGAGUAACACGUGGAUAACCUACCUAUAAGACUGGGAUAACUUCGGGAAACCGGAGCUAAUACCGGAUAAUAUUUUGAACCGCAUGGUUCAAAAGUGAAAGACGGUCUUGCUGUCACUUAUAGAGGGUUGCGCGCUGCAUUAGCUAGUUGGUAAGGUAACGGCUUACCAAGGCAACGAUGCAUAGCCGACCUGAGAGGGUGUACCGGCACACUGGAACUGAGACACGGUCCAGACUCCUACGGGAGGCAGCAGUAGGGAAUCUUGGGCGAUGGGCGAAAGCCUGACCGAGCAGCGCAGCGUGGGUGAAGAAGGUCUUCGGAUCGUAAAACUCUGUUAUUAGGGAAGAACAUAUGUGUAAGUAACUAUGCAUAUCUUGACGGUACCUAGACAAAAAGCCCCGGCUAACUACGUG